rnacentral:rRNA from 1 species
UACGAGGGGGGCAAAUGUUGUUCGGAAUCACUGGGCGUAAAGGGAGCGUAGGCGGGUUCUUAAGUAAGGUGUUUAAUCCCGGGGCCCAACCCCGGACCGGCACUUUAAACUGGGAAUCUUGAAUAGUGGAGAGGUCGGUGGAAUUGGGGGUGUAGCGGUGGAAUGCGUAGAGAUCCCCAAGAACACCAGUUGCGAAGGCGGCCGACUGGACACAUAUUGACGCUGAGGCACGAAGGCCAGGGGAGCAAACGGG